CAGUUCGGAUUGAAGGCUGAAAUUCGCCUUCAUGAAGCCGGAAUUGCUAGUAAUGGCAGGUCAGCAUACUGCCGUGAAUACGUUCCCGGGCCUUGUACACACCGCCCGUCGCACCAUGAGAGUUGGCAACACCCGAAGUCGGUAGUCUAACCGCAAGGAGGACGCCGCCGAAGGUGGGGUUGAUGAUUAGGGUUAAGUCGUAACAAGGUAGC
rnacentral:rRNA from 1 species